CCCUUAGAUGUUCUGGGCCGCACGCGCGCUACACUGAUGAAGGCAACGAGUUUAUCAACCUGCACCGGAAGGUGUGGGUAAUCUUUUGAAACUUCAUCGUGCUGGGGAUAGAUCUUUGCAAUUUUCGAUCUUAAACGAGGAAUUCCUAGUAAGCGCAAGUCAUCAGCUUGCGUUGAUUACGUCCCUGCCCUUUGUACACACCGCCCGUCGCUACUACCGAUUGAAUGGUCCGGUGAAAUCUCGGGACGGCGGCUUGGUCGCUUGCGUCCGACUGCUGAAACUUGAUUAAACCAUAUCAUUUAGAGGAAGGUGAAGUCGUAACA
rnacentral:rRNA from 1 species